rfam:Xanthomonas sp. Mitacek01 contig_17, whole genome shotgun sequence.
GGGGGUGCACUGGCUUCGACGGGGGUCGCGAAAUUGCCUGGUGCAUGCCGAGGGGGCAGCUUUCCUCGUAAAUCCAGCGGCAAAACUCUAGUUGCCAACGACGACAACUACGCUCUCGCCGCUUAAGGCGUAAGCCCCGAACCCACUUGUGCUCGUGCUCGUGGAUGUAGGGUCAUUAUCACGAGAACCAGCCGCGGCGGCCGCCUGUCUGCCGUGGUUGAACUCACAGGCUGGUUCCGGGAUGCGCUUCGCGCACCGUGCUGUUCCGGGACGAGAUCCAACGGUGCGCUAAGCAUGUAGUACCGGGGAUGGAGUGCCUUCGGACGCGGGUUCAAUUCCCGCCACCUCCACCA